rnacentral:rRNA from 1 species
CAGCCGUAAACUAUGCGCGUUAGGUGUACUGGUGACCACGAGUCACCGGGGUGCCGAAGGGAAACCGUGAAACGUGCCGCCUGGGAAGUACGGUCGCAAGGCUGAAACUUAAAGGAAUUGGCGGGGGAGCACCACAACAGGUGGAGCCUGCGGUUUAAUUGGACUCAACGCCGGGAAGCUCACCGGAUAGGACAGGCAGAAUGAUUGCCGGGCUGAAGACCCUGCAUGACUAGCUGAGAGGAGGUGCAUGGCGUAGACGUCU